rnacentral:rRNA from 1 species
UACGGAGGGUGCAAGCGUUAAUCGGAAUUACUGGGCGUAAAGCGUGCGCAGGCGGUUUGUUAAGUCUGUUGUGAAAUCCCCGAGCUCAACUUGGGAAUUGCAAUGGAUACUGGCAGGCUGGAGUAUGGUAGAGGAAGGUGGAAUUCCCGGUGUAGCAGUGAAGUGCGUAGAGAUCGGGAGGAACACCAGUGGCGAAGGCGGCCUUCUGGACCAAUACUGACGCUCAUGCACGAAAGCGUGGGGAGCGAACAGG